CUAUUAGGUCGGAGACGUUCACGCAGAUAGGGAUGACAUGGUUCAAUCUGAGGUAGGUGCAUCGAACCGUUCGAUCCAUAUUCAGCUCAGAUGUUGCCACAUGUCGUCAUUCGAUAAAUUUUUUAUUCAACCACUUUCAUCUCGAUCGUUGAUAGAUCUUAUAUAUAUAGGAUCGCUCUCAGCCAAAUCUUCACUUUUCCCUGUCUUUGGUACUGGGACUCUGCCGGAUUGUUGCCCCUACACCC
rnacentral:lncRNA from 1 species